AUACGGAGGAUCCGAGCGUUAUCCGGAUUUAUUGGGUUUAAAGGGUGCGCAGGCGGGAGAUUAAGUCGGCGGUGAAAUUUUGCAGCUCAACUGUAAAAGUGCCUUCGAAACUGGUUUCCUUGAGUGUAGAUGAAGUAGGCGGAAUUUGUGGUGUAGCGGUGAAAUGCAUAGGUAUCACGAGGAACUCCGAUUGCGCAGGCAGCUUACUAAACUACUACUGACGCUCAGGCACGAAGGCGUGGGGAUCAAACAGGAUUAGAUACCCUGGUAGUCCACGCAGUAAACGAUGAUUACUAGCUGUUUGCGAUACAAUGUAAGCGGCUGAGCGAAAGCGUUAAGUAAUCCACCUGGGGAGUACGUUCGCAAGAAUGAAACUCAAAUGAAUUGACGGGG
rnacentral:rRNA from 1 species